GGAAGGAUCAUUGCGAGAUGGGCGUUUCAGGGGGCGCAAGCCUCCUGGGGCAAUACAAGGUCGUCGGGGGAGGUGGAUUUAUCUUAUCUUAAAUCAGUCCACCCGACAACACGAGCGCGUAAGAGUGUGGCAGUGCAAGUGAAAGAAAAAGAAAACUUUUAACAACGGAUCUCUUGGCUCUUGCAACGAUGAAGAACGCAGUAAAGUGCGAAAAGAAGUGCGAAAAGCAUGAAUCUGUGAGUCAUCAUAUCUUUGAACGCAACUUGCGCCCAGCAAUGGGCAUGACUGUUUGAGUGCUGGGAAGCAGUGGGGAGGUAAAGUGGCGUGACACGAGUGACAGGAAUGACGCGAGUGACACGACAAUGCAUUCCCGCGGUGCCCGCAUUGGAUGCGGGUCAAAGGUCGCAAGCGUCGACAAGACAGAGGCCUGUGGCAGAGAGCAAGCUCUUGUCAGGAGGGCUGUCGGUAGACGGAUGUUUGUAUGUUUACAUGUAAUAUCAACAUCAUCACAUCAGCAGCCUCAAAUCAGUCAAGACCACCCGCUGAACUUAAGCAUAUCAGUAAGCGGAGGAACAGAAAAUAACAAUGAUUCCCCCAGUAGCGGCGAGCGAAGCGGGAGGAGCCCAAAGUUGAAAUCUCAGAGGAGCCCUCUGCGAAUUGUAGUCUAGAGACGGGCGCAGCGGUGGCGAGGCGGACAGAGUGCACUGGAACGUGCCGCCAGAGAGGGUGAGAGCCCCGUGUGUCCGCCAACAAAACCUCACAGCACCCGUCGACGAGUCGAGUUGCUUGGGAAUGCAGCUCAAAGCAGGUGGUAGAUCUCACCAAAGGCUAAAUACAGGCAGGAGACCGAUAGCGAACAAGUACCGUGAGGGAAAGAUGAAAAGCACCUUGAAAAGGGAGUUAAACAGUGCGUGAAAUUGUUAAAAGGGAAACGAUAGGGGCUAGUGUUGGCCGAGGGAGGGCCCGGUGCCUCGGUGCCGGGAGCAGAACUCGGGCGAGUCAGGGCGUGUUGGGGCCUCUGGAGGGGCGCGCAGGAAGGUGGCGAUCUCGGUUGCUUUACAGACUGCGGCGGCGACGGGGGCGGCGACACACAACGGGGGACGCGGGACGCAACGGGCGGCGUGAGUCGGCACACAGCGUGCUGGGCGCAGAACACGCAGGACCGCGCGGGCAGCGCAGCCCGGACCUGGCAAAAUGGCCUCUAACGACCCGUCUUGAAACACGGACCAAGGAGUCCAGCAGCGGCGCGAGCGCCAGGGUGGCAAACCCGGGACGCGAAGCGAAAGCGAGCCAGCGAGCGCGGGUGGAUCAUAAACAACCCGCCCAGCGCGCAGCAGGGACGGGAGGCGCACCAUCGUGCCCUCUUCGUCGCAGCAUCGCUGCUGGGACCCGAAAGGCGGUGAACUAUGCCUGACUAGGGCGAAGCCAGAGGAAACUCUGGUGGAGGCUCGCAGCCGUUCUGACGUGCAAAUCGAUGGUCAAAGUUGGGUAUAGGGGCGAAAGACUAAUCGAACCGCCUAGUAGCUGGUUCCCUC
rnacentral:misc_RNA from 1 species